UUUAACUAUUUUUUUCAAAAGGUAAAAUUCUUGAUGACCGCCUUGGGCAAAAUAAAUGUGUGGAAAAAGAAGACUGCCCCUGCAAAUUCGAUGGACAGAUUUAUAAACCAAAUAGCACACGUACAGAAUUGUGUUCAUCAUGUACUUGUGAAAGUGGAGAAUGGAAUUGUCAAAAAAAGGAUUGUCUUUCAAGAUGCACAAUUGAAGGGGGGUCUUUCAUCCAUACAUUUGAUGGCAAAGAGUACACAUUGCAUGGAAACUGCAAGUACUAUGCUGCUAUGGGGGAUAACUGGAAAUUAAUAAUUCAGCUGAGUAAGUGUGACAGCAGAGUGACUUGCCUGACAAAGGUGGAACUUGAAAUCACUGGUAACCAAGUAAGUUUUCAGAUUGAGAAUACUGGUACAUGUAUUUUUAAAUUAAAUGGUGUGUUUGCAAUGAAAUGCAAGUAAGG